AACCCAUAUUAUUUCCUCCCCGCGCCUUCAGUCGUUUAUUCGUCUCAUCUCUAAUUCUCUGAAAUCUAAACCCUAACCUUCCUCCCGUUCUCAUCAAAUUUUCUCUCAAACCGUUUCCUGCACUACAAUCUUCUCUUUGGCUUCGUGUUCAUCUUCUCCUGUUUGGCUUCGUGUUCAUCUGGUUGAGCGUCGAGGUGGAGGGGUCGAGGCGUCGAAGCAUUUGUGGGUUGAGCGAGGUCGAGGUGCUCUGGCUGCGUAGGUCGUGUUCGCUCUCGGAAUUCCUCGCAUCUGCUGCUACAAAACAAAUAAAUUGAAAGGGAGCAACUGGACCAAUUCAAAAAAAUUGCUAAGUAUAUGCUCAACCACACUGAUAUUCUGCUCUUAGUGGACUCUCAUCCCUCAAGUCUUUACAUUUACUAAACAGUGAAUUGAGUUGGAGAUCAAUUACAAGUUUCUUGAUUUAAGCUAGACAUAAAAGAGGUCAUUUUAAUGGACAAAUCAUGGAUAGACAUGCCUCGAAAUACAAGUCAAUAUAUGAGAGGAUUGAAUACCUUCUUGGACUUUGCACUCACUAAUAGUGGAGUUAGGGGAAAGAUAAUAUGUCCAUGUCCAAAAUGUAAUUUUAAGAAAUGGCAAAGUCGUGAAGAAGUAAAAGAGCACCUAAUUAUUAAACCUUUUCCAAAAGGGUAUAUAUUGUGGCUUUUACACGGGGAGAGAAGAGUAAAUGACGAAGCACCUCAAGUAAUGGCCGAAGCUCCUCAAGUAACGGUUGAAGAAGAUGGUGGAAGAGUUGAAAUUAAUGAUAAUAUGUGUGAAAUGAUUAAUGAUGUAUUUGCACAUCAUUGCUCUAACAACGACAUGACGGAUGAUGAUGAGAUGGGUGCAGAGUCAAGCCAUACUAGAAGUCAUGAUGGGACAUAUUUUUUUGAAUUAAUGCAAGAUGGACAACAAAGCUUAUAUGAAGGAUGAAAAAAUUGAAGCAUAUGAAUCCACAACAUCGUCUCAAUCCAAAAAAAUAUCCCGUUCAGAUUCAUUAGCUCAUGCUUUAGGAAUCCAAGAGCAUUGUGGACGCGUUCGCGGUCUAGGUUUGGGUCCUUGCCCAUCUAAAGUCUUUGGAGUCAAAGCUCGUUCUCAUGGUGGAUCAUCUUCAGCUGCCCCUUCUAAUGAUGAAUUACAAACUCAGGUAUCUUCAUUGACAUCACAAGUCAAUGACAUGACAUCACAAGUCAAUGAAAUGAAAGAAAUGAUAUCAUUUAUGUUGCAAAAUUAUCAAGGUCAAUUGCCUUCAAAGUUUGCUGGAUUUCAACCAUCGGUAUCUGAUCAAGGAAGUGUGCCAAACGAUGAAUAUAAUGAAGAUGAAGAAAAUUAGACAUGUAUGAACAAUUAGUUAUGUCUGGCUUGAUAUGGUAUGAUGUUUUGAGGAUGCAAAUAUCACCUGUCAUCCUUUUAGUCUUUUAGUUGUGUAUGUAUUGAUAUGCUAGUAUCUUUUGUGCUUUCAUAAAGCUGCCAAACAAGGGAAGGAUCAUCCUCAUCAGUCCCUAGGCUAGUCUCCAUGUAUAUUUCAUCUUUUGAAUCACUUCCCUUGUUAGUCUCUUAAAUAUAGUUCUGGUUUUAUUAUGGCUAUUUCUAAAUAUUAAUAUGGUUGUUUCUAAU